rnacentral:rRNA from 1 species
UAUUGGACAAUGGGCGAAAGCCUGAUCCAGCCAUGCCGCGUGUGUGAAGAAGGUCUUCGGAUUGUAAAGCACUUUAAGUUGGGAGGAAGGGCAGUUACCUAAUACGUGAUUGUUUUGACGUUACCGACAGAAUAAGCACCGGCUAACUCUGUGCCAGCAGCCGCGGUAAUACAGAGGGUGCAAGCGUUAAUCGGAAUUACUGGGCGUAAAGCGCGCGUAGGUGGUUAGUUAAGUUGGAUGUGAAAUCCCCGGGCUCAACCUGGGAACUGCAUUCAAAACUGACUGACUAGAGUAUGGUAGAGGGUGGUGGAAUUUCCUGUGUAGCGGUGAAAUGCGUAGAUAUAGGAAGGAACACCAGUGGCGAAGGCGACCACCUGGACUGAUACUGACACUGAGGUGCGAAA